GCCUCGUCGCUUUGGUGUGUUCCAAGGCAAUUUCUUGACCAACUCAGGAAGACUGAUCAGUCCAACUGCCUUUUCUGCUGAGGGUCGGCCGUCUGGUUGGUGUCACAGUGCCUUCAUACACCAUG